GGCUGACUCGGAACCUGCAAGUGGCCCAGCCCUCAGGGGUCUAGAAAUGGAAACUCCGAAGGCUUUCAGUUCACAAGACCAUUUCAAUGUCAGAGCUGAGGCGAGCAAAGGAACUCGCGUCAACCCUUCAUCAGCCAGGAAAGGAAACUGCAGCCAGGAACGCCCCACCCUGCGGGGCCCCUGUGGCCGCCACGCCUGUCCUCAGACCCACACAAACACCACCGAAGAGGGAGCCCCAGUGCCCUCAGGUUUCCUGGACCUAUUCUCAGCACCCACCCUCCCUCCACCUGACCUGGCCUUUGUUUUCCUAGCCCCGGUCGCGUUGCCUUUUGGACUUGAUCCUUGCCAGGUUCUUGCUGUGGCCUUGAAUCCAGUUAAAAGUGCGGCGCUCUCACAGCUGGUGCAUUGGUUCUGCUGCCUCUGGCACACACGCCUCCCUUUUCAGUGGGGCCAGGAGUACCGUGCGUCAGAAGAAUGUUCCCCAGUCUCCUGGGGGCUGGCUUAGUUUCCGGGGUUGCAUUUCCUUUCUCUCUCUCUCUUUCUCUCACUCGCUCGCUCUUGUAUUUUUUUAUAGCUGUGGGGAGCAGUAUUUAAGGACUUUUUGGGUGAACAUGCCAUAUGCCUUCUUUAUCGAGCAGUAGGAAUCAGCAGGAGGAUAAAGGAUGCUCUUAAAGUGACAGGAAGAAAUCAAAAGGGCUCUCAGCCUCCCCGUCAGGGGGAAAAUUCUAAGCAAGUUCCUGCCAUCGAUGACCGAAUCUGCAUCCUCUAGAUGCUAUGGGGUGUCCUGAAACAUUCAUUUCCCUGCUCUGAGCCUUCGUUUCCUUUUCGGUGAAGUGAAAACAACACUCCAAUCUUGGCAAUGUCGUCAGGUUGCUCCCUGGACCAGAGCAGAUACUGGUUGAGGAAGUACUUGGGACGCUUGGGAAGCCCUGUGACCUUGACACAGGGCACCCAUGUCGGUUCUCAGCCCCAUCUGGGUUGGGAUCUGUGUAUCCUCCUCUGGGUCCGUCAGUCCUGGUUGUGUUCAGCCGCCCCCUGCAGAGGCUUCUCCGUUUCCAGGAUGAGAGAACAGCAGCCGCAUGUGUUAGACGCAUCAAAGUAGCAGGGAUCGAAGGCCUGCAGACACCUUAGGAUGCCUCAGACGAUGAAGCCAAGCCUCAGAAGGCAGGAAUGACCGAACCAGGACCACCUCCCAUUUCUUCCCUCCUACCACCAAAGAACCAUCCAGAAAAAAAGACUGCAACAAAUCAGCAUCGCUCUUGGUGAUGUCUGCUGCCUCUGAGGCAGCCUGGCCUCAGCACCCCUCCCCCCGCCCCAGGGGUUCAGGCUGUGGGGUGACAUUUCCUGCUCCUGUGAGGCAGAGGGCCUGAGGAAGAACAAGAUCAAGAGGAAUCCCUGGCUCCAGUGUUUUCCAAAGCCUUUCAGUCAGAAAGGCCUUGCUUCAGCCUGAAUCCGAGGCAGAGGCCCUGUCAUCUUCCCCCCAGCCUCCCUGCCCCAGGCCGCUGGCCCGGAGAAGCUGGAGGCCAGCCCCGGGGCAGUGAGGAGCCAGCAGGCUGCCGUCAGAGGCGAGAGGGCCGCCUCUAAAUCAGUCGUGCUCCGGUGGGAGGGCCGGGCCAGGCUCGGAGGGGAUUUUCCUCGAUUAUAUUGAAAGCAUGACAAUGGUGAGGGAAAGGAGCCGAGUUCCCACAGAGUGUCCGGUCACUCCUGUGGGGGCUGUGGGAGCCGGGCCUGGCUGCCUUUUUCUCUCUGGGCAGCAGCACACACAGUUUUUAAUAAUUAAGUAACUUUAAUUGUCCUGGGAAAGCAGAGCUCGCCUUGGGGCACGCCGCACCAACUCAUAAUUAAUGUUACCAAGAGAGAUUAGCAAAGGAGAACUGAGAAAUGAUUCACUUUUUAAAAAGCGCCUCACUGUUAAGCCUUAUUAUACCAAGUUUAGAACCUCAUUUAUCUGCUUUGAGGAAAAAAAAAAAAAAAAAAAAAAAAAAAAA
rnacentral:lncRNA from 1 species